UUCUAUCUGCUAUUGACUAUUGA
rnacentral:snRNA from 1 species